GAUGAAGAACGUAGCGAAAUGCGAUAAGUAGUGUGAAUUGCAGAAUUCAGUGAAUCAUCGAAUCUUUGAACGCACAUUGCGCCCUUUGGUAUUCCUUAGGGCAUGCCUGUUCGAGCGUCAUUACAACCCUCAAGCCCCCCGGCUUGGUGUUGGGGACCGGCCACCGGUGCCCUGCUGCUUCCGCGGCAGGCGCGCCCGGCCGCCCCCGAAAUGAAUUGGCGGCCCCGUCGCGGCCUCCCUCUGCGUAGUAGCACACAUCUCGCAGCUGGAGCGCGGCGCGGCCACUGCCGUAAAACGCACCAACUUUUUUUUACAGUUGACCUCGAAUCAGGUAGGAAUACCCGCUGAACUUAAGCAUAUCAUAAGCGGAGGA
rnacentral:misc_RNA from 1 species